AUACCAAAAAAUUAAGUCAUACCACUCCGGUAAAAAGACAGUUAGACAUGUUAAAUAGUCUAUAAAAUAUUGAUAUAAAGGUAAAAUUUGUAUAUCAGUUAGUAAUUUAAUAAUGACCUUAAAUGUUGAAUCUGUGACAGCUUUGAGGGAAACUGGGAUUGGAUACCCCACUAUUCUUAGCUGUAAACUUGAUUAGCUUGAUUUACCAGAGCACUACGAACUAAAAAUUUAAAACUCAAAGGGCUUGGCGGUGUUUUAGACCAUUCAGGGGAACCUGUCUCAUAAUCGACAAUCCACGUUAAACCUGACCUUUUUUCGUAAUCAGCCCGUAUACCGUCGUCGUCAGGUAACUUCUAAAAAUUUAAAAGUUAGCUAGAAAACUACUAAUAAGUUAAAACGUCAGAUCAGGGUGCAGCCUAUAAAAAGGGGAGGAUGGGUUACAAUUAAAUAUUCUUAACUACGGAAAGUUACUCAGAAAGAUAACUUGAAGGAGGACUUGAAAGUAAUUUUUUUUACAUAAAUUAUAUGAAUUAGGCUCUGAAACGUG
rnacentral:rRNA from 1 species